AUGAGGCCGGAGACGCGCCUCGACUCGGCGGCGUUCCAGCUCACCCCCACCCGCACCAGGUGUGAUUUGAUUGUGAUAGCGAAUGGGAGGAAGGAGAAGAUCGCCUCCGGCCUGCUGAAUCCCUUCGUCGCCCACCUCAAGGCCGCCCAGGACCAGAUUGCCAAGGGAGGCUACACCAUCCUGCUCGAACCGGAUCCGGCGGCCGACGCGCCAUGGUUCACCAGGGGCACCCUCGAGAGGUUCGUCCGUUUCGUGAGCACGCCAGAGGUCCUGGAGCGGGUGACCACGAUAGAGUCCGAGAUACUGCAGCUCGAGGACGCCAUCGCCGUCCAGAGCAACGAAAAUCUAGGACUCAAAUCUGGAGAAGCCCAUAAUGGGAAGCCGGUGGACUCCUCCAUGGAAGGUGGCAAGACAGGGUACAAUGCUGAUGGUGAUAAGGCACUUGUUCUGUACAAGCCUGACACACAUCCAGCAUCCCAACUGCAGAAUGACGACGGAGUACAUGAGGAGCAUUCAAAAGUUCAGCUUCUCAGAGUGCUGGAGACUCGCAAGACUGUCUUACGUAAAGAGCAGGCUAUGGCCUUUGCACGUGCUCUAGCUGCUGGGUUUGAUAUAGACAACCUGAUAUAUUUGAUCUCGUUCGCAGAGCGUUUUGGUGCUUCACGCUUGAUGAAGGCAUGCACACAGUUCAUUGAUUUGUGGAGGCAAAAACAUGAGACUGGACAGUGGAUUGACGUUGAACCCGAAACAAUGUCUACACGCUCUGAAUUUCCUCCCUUCAAUGCUUCUGGGAUUAUGUUUAUGGGAGAUAAGGAAACAAUGUCUGUCUCUAAUGGAGAUACAAAUGGCGAAGAUGCUGCUAAAGCUGAUCACAGGUCACAUCACCACCCAGGAGCUCCCCAUGAGUACCAUCAUGGCCCAUAUCAAUCAGGAUAUCCACCAUGGGCAAUGCAUCCACCUUACCCCAUGCAAGGCAUGCCACCAUACUACCCUGGGGCAAACCCAUAUUACCCUCCUCCCUAUCCCCCAACAGAUGAUCCCAGGUACAACCACUCGGAGAGGAGACCAUCAAGGAAGCACUCAGCAGACAGCAAGGACUUCGACAACUCCGAUGAUGAAAGUGACGACCAAAGCGGUUCAGAGAGGGAGAGUUCUCAUGGCCGCAAGUCCAGUAAAAAAGGCAAGCGCUCGGGCAAGAAGAAUGUAAUUGUCAUACGCAAUGUAAAUGUAACAUCAAAGAAGAAGCACAGGUCAUCAGAGAGCGAGUCACACUCAGGCUCAGAUAUGUCAUCAGAGGAUAGUGAUGAUUCACACAGGAAAUCCAGCAAGAGGAAUCAUAAGCGCUCGAGUUCGAAGAAAAAAGGGGGCAAGAAAACCAUUGAGUCUGAAGAUGAGUACACCAAGGAUGGAAUGUCUAAUGGGCAGCAAGAUGGAGAUCAAGGAAACUGGAAUGCGUUCCAGAACUUCUUGCUCAGAGAUGAAGAGAAGACAAGAGAUAAUAAUGACGCGGAUAUGUUCGCCAGUGAAAGAGAGCCACCACCACCACCUAGGAGGAGAGAGACCACAGGAAAUAUGGGCGAUCCUAUUCUUUUAUCCGAGCGGGGUUCUGCUGAUGUCGAUGAGCGAAAUGGAAUGCCUUUCAACACAGCCAAUGGGAGAAUUAGGGCCAGGCAGAUGAUGUCUGGUGAUGAACUUAUGAUGUCUGGGGAAGGUCGGAGCUUUGUGGAUGGUGACAUGAAGGAGAUAGAAGCCGGAGGUGGGGGAUACAGAAGAGGGGCAAAUGAUGACUUCAUGGUUUAUGGACAUGAAAACUCAAUGGACAGGGGGAGCUCCUUGGACCCCCUUGCUGAGGGGCAUUACAAGAGACCCACUCUGGAGGAGAAGAAGAAUGUACACGGUGUGGAUGAGUCCAUGAUACCUGUUACCUCCAACUCACAUGAUAACCUUGGAGCUGACGGCCGUACUGCCAUUGACAUAGAUGCUGAGCUUGGCACAAGUGUUCAGAAAACAUCGGAUGCCAAGGCUGGAGGUGAACUUUUCUAUGAGCCAGAUGAAUUGAUGCCAGAGCGUGGCUUUGAAGAUGUUUCAUUUGGAUAUGAUCCAUCAAUGGACUAUGAUAGCCACAUGCAGAUUCAUCCUGACGUCGGCGUUGAAGAUGCAAAUGCAGAGGAUUUAUCAGCUUGCGUCGACGAUGAAGGAAAGAUGCCAGCAAAAGUCAAGAAGCUUAGAGGUUCACAGGAGGGUUUGGAUAAAAGAAGGAAGGAUGCCUCAGCAAGGAGACUGUCAGCGCCCAAAGGCCCACUAACUGAUGCGCAGAAACGUGCACAAAACCUACGCGCGUAUAAAGCGGGCCUACAAAAGGAAAAGAAGGAGCUGGAAGCAGAACAGAUUAAACGGCUCGAAAGGCUUAAGCAAGAGAGGCAAAAGAGGAUUGCUGCAAGAAGUGGCGCAUCUAAUCCAAUAUCAACACCGCCGCAAGCUAAAGCAAAACCUUCUCCAAAGGUUUCUCCCAGUACCCACAAGAGUUCCAAGUUCACUGACGCUGAACCAGGAUCCUCUUCGCCUCUAAGAAAAAUUAUUCCUGCCAGAAGCAGUACCCCAGGGAGUGAUCCUCACAAAACAGCCAAAGCAAGCAAACUCGGCGGUGACAGCUCAAGUGCAGUGAGCAAGUCAACCUCAUCACUGGCUGAGAUCAAAAAGGAGAAAAGUGGCAGAACUGAAUCGUCGAUUGAGCGAUUGAAGAAGCUUGCUGAACCUAAAAGCAAUGCUUCGACUGACCAUCCUUCGAAUCCCAAGUCAGCGAGCGCGGAUCACCCGCGGAGAAGAAGCUUGCCGUUGCCGGAAGAUGUGCAGACCAAGAAAAUCUCCGCUAUAAUGCAGCUCGACGAGACCAAGUCGGCAGCCCUACCAGAGCUGAAAGUCAAAUCCCCCCGAACCCCUGCCGCUGUCGUUGUGAAGAACAAGGCGGCGGCUAAAGUAGCAAAAGAGGCGCCACGUGUUGGACCUAAAGCACAUGCUACUUCAGAAAGUAGAGAUGGAAAGAAAUCGUCCAACGGUAAAGUUUCCAGGGUAAGCAGCAGUGAUGACAAUGUGGUGGUUGAGAAGACCGUCGUGAUGCUUGAAAACGAAGUGGUCUCUACGCCUCCUGUUGUUCUACCUCCUGGAAGAAGUGCGGAGAGCGAAACUCGCAGCGAUGACCGAAUGGACUAUCCCAGUCUGGAGCAGGAGUAUGUUGCCAUCAGGGCUCCACCUUCUCCCGUUGAUCUUCCUGAAGAUGCAAAUCCUACCAUCCAUGCAUCUGACAGCCAGUUGAAUUCCUACGAGGUGGAUGUGCCUGAGUACAAGAAGGAUGAGCUUGAGAAACCAGCCCCGUUGGCUCCGAUGGAGGAGAAACCUUAUGAGGCCCCUUUUGCCAGGGAACCCGAGACACUUGCGCGCGCAGCGAGCGUGAGGGCACGCGUGCCUGAGCCUGCUGCAUAUGCAGUCUCAGCCGAGGAGACACAUGGAGAAAAUGGCAAGCCUCGAAGCAAAGAACCGAAAGGCUUCAGGAAACUGCUGAAAUUCGGCAAGAAGAGCCACACCUCAACGAUGGAUUCCGAUGCAUCGUCGGUCGACGAAGCCCCUGCAGGAGAUGGUUCGAUGCUGAAAAACCUCAUUUCGCAAGACGACUCCGCGGGCUCUUCAUACAAAGCUUCUCGGUCCUUCUCCCUGCUGGCGCCGUUCCGCAAGAACAAGGUGGUCGUGCUGUGA
rnacentral:rRNA from 1 species